AUUGAACGCUGGCGGCAGGCCUAACACAUGCAAGUCGAGCGGAUGAAGGGAGCUUGCUCCUGGAUUCAGCGGCGGACGGGUGAGUAAUGCCUAGGAAUCUGCCUGGUAGUGGGGGAUAACGUCCGGAAACGGGCGCUAAUACCGCAUACGUCCUGAGGGAGAAAGUGGGGGAUCUUCGGACCUCACGCUAUCAGAUGAGCCUAGGUCGGAUUAGCUAGUUGGUGGGGUAAAGGCCUACCAAGGCGACGAUCCGUAACUGGUCUGAGAGGAUGAUCAGUCAACAUGGAACGGGGACACGGUCCAACCCCCUAGGGGGGGCAGAAGUGGGGAAUAUUGGACAAUGGGCGAAAGCCUGAUCCAGCCAGGCCGGGGGUGGGAAGAAGGUUUUCGGAUUGUAAAGCACUUUAAUUUGGGGGGAAGGGCAGUAAGUUAAAACCUUGCUGUUUUGACGUUACCAAAAGAAUAAGCACCGGCUAACUUCGU
rnacentral:rRNA from 1 species